rnacentral:rRNA from 1 species
UACGUAGGGAGCAAGCGUUGUCCGGAAUCAUUGGGCGUAAAGCGCGCGUAGGUGGCCCCGUAAGUCCGCUGUGAAAGUCAAAGGCUCAACCUGGGACUUGCAGUUGAAACUGGGAAGCUAGAGUAGGGUAGAGGGGUGUGGAAUUCCAGGUGUAGCGGUGAAAUGCGUAGAUAUCUGGAGGAACAUCAGUGGCGAAGGCGACUCUUUGGCCUGUAACUGACACUGAGGCGCGAAAGCGUGGGGAGCAAACAGG